AAACAGGGCAAUGGCUCAUCCUAGAGCUGAGAAGGAAAGAGAGGCUGCUUCUACCAGGUUCUCCAUCCUGCAACACAAGGCUUUGGUAUCAGGAUGCUGCUGGCCUCAUAAAAUGAGUUAGGGAGGAUUCCCUCUUUUUCUAUUGAUUGGAAUAGUUUCAGAAGGAAUGGUACCUGCUCCUCUUUAUACCUCUGGUAGAAUUCGGCUGUGAAUCCAUCUGGUCCUGGACUUUUUUUGGACAGCAGUUGGUUGACAUUUAAAGGGCCACUGUCCCAGAAGGCUGCUUGCCUUGGCCCAUGGCACUGGCAGAAAUCUCAAGACCAAGCUGAAAAAGCACAAAGAAAUUUCCUUUGGUUCCAGGAACCUCUUGGCUUGAAUAGGAAAUAGCCUCUUAGUGACACUACACUGCAAUUUCAAAUAACAGGUUUUUUAUCACCUCUUUGAGAAAUAUCACCUUGGGUUCAUCUCAGAAAAAAAAUACAAAGUAGAAUUUUUUCAAACUUAAUACCCUUGGGUUCAUCUCAGAAAAAAAUAGAAAGUAGAAUUCUUUCAAACUUAAUCCCC
rnacentral:lncRNA from 1 species